GAUGAACGCUGGCGGCGUGCCUAAUACAUGCAAGUCGAGCGAACGGACGAGAAGCUUGCUUCUCUGAUGUUAGCGGCGGACGGGUGAGUAACACGUGGAUAACCUACCUAUAAGACUGGGAUAACUUCGGGAAACCGUAGCUAAUACCGGAUAAUAUUUUGAACCGCAUGGUUCAAAAGUGAAAGACGGUCUUGCUGUCACUUAUAGAUGGAUCCGCGCUGCAUUAGCUAGUUGGUAAGGUAACGGCUUACCAAGGCAACGAUGCAUAGCCGACCUGAGAGGGUGAUCGGCCACACUGGAACUGAGACACGGUCCAGACUCCUACGGGAGGCAGCAGUAGGGAAUCUUCCGCAAUGGGCGAAAGCCUGACGGAGCAACGCCGCGUCAGUGAUGAAGGUCUUCGGAUCGUAAAACUCUGUUAUUAGGGAAGAACAUAUGUGUAAGUAACUGUGCACAUCUUGACGGUACCUAAUCAGAAAGCCACGGCUAACUACGUG
rnacentral:rRNA from 1 species